UAUUCCACACAGAAUCGAAUAACAUAAGUACAGAGAUGUACGCAGCACAGCAGAUGACAACGGCACAUUUCCAUUACUAUGAGAGGGAUAAAAAGCGUCAUUAAUCAUUUACCAACAUUGUAGCAUUUUAUACAGCCUAUCAAGCUUUUUGUUUACGAAUGGUGCUGGGAGUUUUGGUUAUUUUCGUUGCAAUAUUCCACCAAUUUCAAAGUUCCUAGGAUGGAAUAGGUAUGUUUCCUGGAAUGAUAUAAAAAUAAAUAAACGAUGCGUUAAUGAACUGGGGACGCCGCAGAUCAAAGCCGUGGUUGGGAUGAACCAAGGGAAAGACCCCCCAUCAGGCUCUUGGUGAGAAAAAUGGAAAGAAGUUACACCUCCAAAAGGGAAACAGAGGAGGGAGACGAGAGAAACCCGGGAGAGAGAAACCGGGGGAGAGAAACCGGGGAGAGAGAAACAGGGGGAGAAAGAAACCGAGAGCAUGGGGAAUCCCUCUGCAUGUGAAUGGUGACGUUUGCGGCCAAGGCAAAAAAUAUUUAUGUCCUCUUGCAUCUCUAGGCAGUAAACACGUCUUGAACACUGCUUCUCUUGUCGUCUGAGGCCGCAGGAUGGAUGGAUGGAAGGAAGGACAGAGUCAGCCACACAGUAAAAAGAUAUAGAAUAGAACAUUCGGACGGCGUGGGAGGUUCGGACAGAUUUGCAUACCACUCCACCAGCGCCGAGAGCACGUGCAUUGCAACACCGGAGAGCGUCUGGGGAUGAGCUGACUGUGGACGGAAAACAGACCGUUUCUCCCACGCCACCUUUCGCCACCGCACUGAACUUUUCCCUGACCCAAACCGAGGCCCGGAAAGUCGAGUGUGAAGUUAUUUUGCUUCAAAAACAAGGGGAGGAUGGAGACUACAUAACCAAUAAGAGAUAUACCUUCCUUCAGCUGGGAACGUUUUGGAUCCUUGUUUUUAACGGGCUCUUGUUGGUUUCAGCAGUUGAUUAGCCUAUUUCUUGGUUUGUAUGUAUACAUAUAUUAAAGUUAGUAACAUAAAGCUGGUAACCUAAAUCCAACUUCCAACAUUUACCGGCCUUGAGCGGUAGACUUGGGCCGUAGACAGUCCUCUCCACACCGCUCCGUCAUUGGAUGUUCGCCAGACUGCGAUGCAUCUCUCCACAAUGUUGACAUUUGAAGCUCUUAACAGCGAGCCUUGGGUUACCGAUACACUCUGCAGAAGAUAACUCUUUCUCAGAGGUUUACAUCGGACAACAUCAAGGCUAAUGCGAAAUUCAACGCCCUAAACUGGUUUGGCGUGCAGCUAAAACAGAGAAGCCUCGGUGGAUCUCGCUAUACACUCCAUAACCGACUGACUUCUGUUGUGGUGGUUUGUUUCAGUAUGUGCUGUAGAAAUAAAAUUGUAGUGGUAAUAAUGUU